AUCCUUUUGUUGUUCAUGAGCAUGACAAUUGGGUGUUUUCAUGCAGCGAGUGAGAUGUGCCACCCUGGAACCUUGUUAACGACGUCGCACGUUACCUGUCUGACC
rnacentral:snoRNA from 1 species